GUGCAGCAGGCGCGAAUCCUCCGCAAUGCGGGAAACCGCGACGGGGUCACCCCGAGUGCCGCCCUAACGGGUGGCUGUGGCCCGGUGUAAACAGCCGGGCUUAGAAAGGGGAGGGCAAGGCUGGUGCCAGCCGCCGCGGUAAAACCAGCUCCUCGAGUGGUCGGGGCUAUUAUUGGGCCUAAAGCGUCCGUAGCCGGCCCCGUAAGUCCUCGGUUAAAUCCCACGGCUUAACCGUGGGACUGCCGGGGAUACUGCGGGGCUUGGGGGCGGGAGAGGCCGGGGGUACUCCCGGGGUAGGGGUGAAAUCCUGUAAUCCCGGGGGGACCACCAGUGGCGAAGGCGCCCGGCUGGAACGCGCCCGACGGUGAGGGACGAAAGCCAGGGGAGCGAACCGGAUUA
rnacentral:rRNA from 1 species